AUCUUUUCUUUAUUCAACAAACUUAUGAAUCUUAUCAGGCUACAGGAAAGCAAAACUGAAUCCCAUAAAAUAAAUCCACUGUACAAAGUAAAACGCAAGGCUCACAAAGCAAAUCAAGUUAAUCCGUCAGCACCAAAAGGGAAGUCAUAGAGCGUUUCUCAUUGGGCGAGCGGCAAAAUUCGUAGGGAUCAGGUUUGGGGCGCUCGCGUGCUGACGGAAGGAGAGGGGCGGUGCAGCUGGUGCAUCGGGCCCCCGGCCCCCGCGCCGGCCCAUUGCCAAGUUCAAUGCCAAGGUCAUGCGCGCGCGACUGCGGCUGCGCGCCACACGGCCGCAAUGCAGGAGCGGCCGGCGUUCGGCGCGACCGGCCGUCAGUGCCUCACGAACCGCGCCGUACGCCGCACUUUUCUCCUAACUCACCUGUUAAAACCCCGAAAACUAGUUGGUUAACUCAGUGUGUUUGGAAUUUGACAUGUCGGUUCAGUAUGUGCGUUGCCGCGACGUCGCGCCAAGCCAAGCUUCACCUGUUAUGCAACACUUCCUCAUAUCAAACAUCCGUCUUGAUAAUACAACUCAAGUCUGGAGAGUGGAGAGCAACCUGCACUGCUGCAACCUACUCUCAAGUCUCAAAUAAGUUUUCAAAUCAUAGGUCCGCGGUCCGGUCUUCGCUAUUGCGGAGGGAAGCAUGCACGAGGCAGGAAAUCGUAGUUUGUGCCGCGGUUCUAGUUGCUCGCCUUAAUUGAAGACUCGAAUAGAUUUCUUCCAUCAGGCGUUUAUGAACUCCAGUACUGUGAGCUACAGACCCCGCAAACCCCAAUGGCUCCACACCAUUUUGAAAAAAAAAAGAAAAACAUAUGCCGCCAUUCUACUGCCCGCCUUAAUUAAAGACACGAAACUGAUAGAUCUCCGCCAUCGGGCGUUUUAUAAACGCGGUUAUCGACGUGAUAAUGACAAGAUAAAGAGUCGCCGGAUUACCGAGCGCCUACUGUAACUUCAAACGCACUGAAACUGGAUUGCGACUAUUCUAACCUAGACACACAACGGCAACAUAGCAUCCUUAACAGCUCUCCCAUUUUGAAGUAAUGGAUUGGACUGGAAUAACAGGACAGGCCGCGUUGGCAGUGUGGUUAGCUGGUUGUUGUGACCAUUUUACAGCCAGUAGCUGCACUGCCCCCGCGUUCUGUUCUAAUCGACUUGACCAAAGGACACGUUGGAUACUUCGGUCAUAAUGAGGGUGCGUUCGGAUACUAUCCAAGGUACAUGUACCCCAGGGUAGAGCAAGCGCACUCUUAGAUAAAAACGACGAGUUUCAUCGUUCUCAAGAAAAACUUACUGUGCUAAUAAUAGUUAUCUGUUUUACAAGGGGGCAAAGUUGUUGCUUAACCCUUCGUGUAAUGUUGAUACCCGAGCAAGCGUAAGAUUAAAAAAUUGGGUUUCAAGACAGGAGGGUAAAACAAACUUUGCUGCCGAGUGAAGCACAACCUUUUUCACAACACCAACGCGAGGAAAAUACUAAUAGCUGAAAACAUUUUCUACUAGCCAACAUAAAGAAACAAUUCAAAAUUUGCAUUGUAGAUUACUUUGCCACUCUAGUGGAUAAAAUUAAAUUUUCUGAUCAGUUUUUUAAAAUAAGAGGGUGUGGUGAUAGGAAUUUGUACAGCGAGCUGCAAAAUAGCUGCAAAAUUUAAUGGACAUUAUGAAUGGAAUUCAUUCAAUAAGAGUUUUGAAUGAUUCACGGUCUAUAUAUAUAAGUCUAGUGGAAUUCAUUCAUAUAAAAGUGGCCAUGCACUUUUGCAGCUGGGCUUUAGGUACUGCGUUAUUAUCAUUGUUAUUAUCUUAAUUUCCUGACGAUAUUCUGGGGUUAUUUUAUUGUAAGUACCUACCUACCUAAACGAUGAUGAGAUUUUAAAGUUUUGGACGCCAAUGACGGAUAUAUCGGCACCGAAGGUCCAACGCCAAAGACGAAUUAAUCCGUCGCAGAUCACAGAGCAACAUAGACUUACGUGCAUGUGCAGAAUGUUCAAUUUCAGUUUUGACACCUCGGUGACGUGGCGUCCGAGUGACAGCUUUUGUGUUUGACACGGCGUCGAAAAGUUUAACCCCUGACGCAAGAAGAGGGGUGUUAUAAGUUUAGCCGUUAUGUGUGUGCGUGUUUGUACGACAUGUGUCAUAUGACUAAGUUAGGGGUCCCACUACUACCUACUUAUUUAAGAUUUCAUAAAGCAUAUAAACACAACUUACACAACAAACUGCAUCUGUCCUUGGCAUUUCUGCACGCUGACUAAACGCUACUCUGUAUAAAGUCUAUUUGCGGCGCAUGUUAGCUAGUUCCAACAUAAAAUACGUCUUUCUGCCACUCGUUCAGACUAAAAUAAAUAUGCAUUACCUUCGCUGCAUUUAUAGGAAGUGAGCCAAGUGUGGUGCCAACGCAUGUCCACUAGCACGUGUUGUUUCUAUAUAUAUAUUGUUGAUGUGUAUAGAUUUUUUUAUUGCAGUGCGAGGUAAAUGGCAUUUAAAAUUAUGAAAUCGGUAGACAUCUAUCAUCUAUCGUAAUGUUUGGCACUAAAUCGGGUUGAUUUUCGUUUCGUUUAUAAAUACUUAUAAACCCUGA